ACCAGUGGCGAAGGCGCUCUACUGGGCCAUAACUGACACUGAUGGACGAAAGCUAGGGGAGCGAAAGGGAUUAGAUACCCCUGUAGUCCUAGCUGUAAACGAUGAACACUAGGUGUUGCGCGUAUCGACCCGUGCAGUAUCGAAGCAAACGCGUUAAGUGUUCCGCCUGGGGAGUACGCACGCAAGUGUGAAACUCAAAGGAAUUGACGGGGGCCCGCACAAGCGGUGGAGUAUGUGGUUUAAUUCGAUGCAACGCGAAGAACCUUACCAGGGAUUGACAUCCUACGAACCUUCCUGAAAGGGAAGGGUGCCUUCGGGAACGUAGAGACAGGUGGUGCAUGGCUGUCGUCAGCUCGUG
rnacentral:rRNA from 1 species